UACGGAGGGUGCAAGCGUUGUCCGGAAUCACUGGGCGUAAAGGGCGCGUAGGCGGCUCAUGAAGGCUGUGGUGAAAGUCCGGGGCUCAACCUCGGAUCGGCCGUGGGGACUGGCGGGCUGGAGGGGAGCAGAGGCGAGUGGAAUUCCGGGUGUAGUGGUGAAAUGCGUAGAGAUCCGGAGGAACACCAGUGGCGAAGGCGGCUCGCUGGGCUUUUUCUGACGCUGAGGCGCGAAAGCGUGGGGAGCGAACCGG
rnacentral:rRNA from 1 species